rnacentral:piRNA from 1 species
UNCUAGUUUAUCUUGUUUCAGGGAUG